rnacentral:rRNA from 1 species
GACGAACGCUGGCGGCGUGCUUAACACAUGCAAGUCGAACGGAAAGGCCCUGCUUGCAGGGUACUCGAGUGGCGAACGGGUGAGUAACACGUGGGUGAUCUGCCCUGCACUUCGGGAUAAGCCUGGGAAACUGGGUCUAAUACCGGAUAGGAGCCAUUUUUAGUGUGAUGGUUGGAAAGUUUUUUCGGUGUAGGAUGAGCUCGCGGCCUAUCAGCUUGUUGGUGGGGUAAUGGCCUACCAAGGCGGCGACGGGUAGCCGGCCUGAGAGGGUGGACGGCCACAUUGGGACUGAGAAACGGCCCAGACUCCUACGGGAGGCAGCAGUGGGGAAUAUUGCACAAUGGGCGCAAGCCUGAUGCAGCGACGCCGCGUGGGGGAUGACGGCCUUCGGGUUGUAAACUCAUUUCGCUAGGGACGAAGCUUUUUGUGACGGUACCUAGAUAAGAAGCACCGGCUAACUACGUG